AGAGUUUGAUCAUGGCUCAGAACGAACGUUGGCGGCGUGGAUUAGGCAUGCAAGUCGAACGAAUCCCCUUUGGGUAACUGAGGGGGGGAAGUGGCGAAAGGGGCAGUAAGGCGUGGGUAACCUACCCCGGGGAUCGGGAUAGCCUUCCUAACGGAUGGGUAAUACCGGGCGAUCUGACGAGGGGGCAUCUGCUUGUCAGGAAAUGAAUUUCGCCUCGGGCGGGGCUCACGUGAUAUUAGCUUGUUGGCGGGGUAACGGCCCACCAAGGCCAAGAUGUCUAGCGGGUGUGAGAGCACGACCCGCGCCACUGGCACUGAGACACUGGCCAGACACCUACGGGUGGCUGCAGUCGAGGAUCUUCGGCAAUGGGCGCAAGCCUGACCGAGCGACGCCGCGUGUGCGAUGAAGGCCUUCGGGUUGUAAAGCACUGUCGAGGGGGAGGAAGGCCGCAAGGCUUGACCUAUCCCUGGAGGAAGGACGGGCUAAGUUCGUGCCAGCAGCCGCGGUAAGACGAACCGUCCUAACGUUGUUCGGAAUCACUGGGCUUAAAGGGCGCGUAGGCGGAUCUCCAAGUCCGGGGUGAAAUCUUUCGGCUUAACCGGAAAAGGGCCUUGGAAACUGGAGAUCUCGAGGGAGGUAGGGGCCUGUGGAACUUCGGGUGGAGUGGUGAAAUGCGUUGAUAUCCGAAGGAACGCCGGUGGCGAAAGCGACGGGCUGGAUCUCUUCUGACGCUGAGGCGCGAAAGCCAGGGGAGCAAACGGGAUUAGAUACCCUAGUAGUCC
rnacentral:rRNA from 1 species